UUUAAGCUAUACACUUGCCUUUUGCCUCAUAAUUCUUGAAUUAAGAGCCCUGUUCAAAUGCUGUUGAGUGGCAAUCCCAAGUGGCCAACGCUUAACCCAAAUGUAUGGCUCAAAGAGAAAUAUUUCAUAGAGACCUGUCACAAUACAGCUCCAUCUUCAUCUUUAUUGCAAAAACCAUUCGUGAAUGUACAAAGAAAUGGGCCUGCCCGGCCGGAUCUAAGGCUGUCCAGAAUAUUUGUUAGCUUGUUAUUCAAAUGAAAACGUUUUCUAUACUCGUAAAUCUGAGCGCGAAAGCUUCUCAAGGACUUGAAUUCGUUGUUUUUGUGUGUUUCGCCCGCUGCGAACGUGCGUUUAUGCAAUGAGGCAGUGGGUAAAGGAAGAGCGAGUGGAAAAACAAAACAACAUGUCAAAAAAUAAAUCGACGGCGACAACAACAACAACAACAACAAUAACAAAAGCCAGCGUCAAACCGUUGACAGGCAGCCAGAAAGGGAAGAACCAAAAGAAAUGAUAGAGUUGGGGGAGAGUGUAAGAGUGCGGCGUCUUAUUUGUCAUUUCUUUAACGAUUUCUGCAAAGCAAAGCAGAAACCAACAGACAAACAGCAGGAUAAGGCACAAAAUGGCGCAGGCACGUCGAAUCAUCCAACUCCAACUCCUACUCGAACUGCAAAGCAAGAGCAGAGCCUCUCGUAAUGGCUGCUGGAAGAUGAUGUCACUUUUGCUCAAGUGCCGCAAUAAACAAAUUUCUCAAAAGGGCAAACGAGGACAUCCUCCUCGGGGCUACGUGUGCGGCCCAGGUAAGCCAAACAGUCAGCCACAAGGACCAGCCAUGGGGACGUUUUGGUGGCACAUUUGAAUUAUGAGUCGCGUGCUAAAUUUUACAACUCAAUGUGAAUAGGGAAUAAAAAACAAGACAAAAAAGCAAAAAAAAAAAA